rnacentral:rRNA from 1 species
AACCCAGCGCCGGGUUAAGGUCCCCAAGUGUGAAUUAAGUGCGAUCGAAGGUGGUCUCAAGCCCUAGACAGCCGGGAGGUGAGCUUAGAAGCAGCUACCCUCUAAGAAAAGCGUAACAGCUUACCGGCCGAGGUUUGAGGCGCCCAAAAUGAUCGGGGCUCAAAUUCACCACCGAGACCUGGCCACACUCUUGAUGGAGUGAUUGCGUAGGUCGGCGUUCUGUUCGGGUGGAAGCACGGACGAGAGUUCGUGUGGACCGUUCAGUAACGACAAUCCUGGUCAUAGUAGCAGCGUUAGUCGGGUUGAACCCCCGACGGCCGAACGAGUAAGGGUUCCUCAGCAAUGCUGAUCAGCUGAGGGUUAGUCGGUCCUAAGUCUCACCGUAACUCGACUGAGACAACAGGGAAACAGGUUAAUAUUCCUGUACCAGUGUGAACUCAAAGCUGACGCUUUGGGGCCGCCGCUGCCGGGCCUUCGCCCGGUCGAACAGUCGAANACCCAGAGCCCGUGAAAAAGCAAUCACACUGUCCGUACCGAGAUCCGACACAGGUACUCAUGGCAGCGAAAGCCAAGGCCCGUCGGGAGUAACCGACGUUAGGGAAUUCGGCAAGUUAGUCCCGUACCUUCGGAAGAAGGGAUGCCUGCCCCGCAAUGGGGCAGGUCGCAGUGACUCGGGCGCUCCGACUGUCUAGUAACAACAUAGGUGACCGCAAAUCCGCAAGGACUCGUACGGUCACUGAAUCCUGCCCAGUGCGGGUAUCUGAACACCCCUUACAAGGGGACGAAGGACCCGUUAACGGCGGGGGUAACUAUGACCCUCUUAAGGUAGCGUAGUACCUUGCCGCUUCAGUAGCGGCUUGCAUGAAUGGAUCAACGAGAGCGCCACUGUCCCAACGUUGGGCCCGGUGAACUGUACGUUCCAGUGCGGAGUCUGGAGACCCCCAAGGGGAAGCGAAGACCCUAUAGAGCUUUACUGCAGGCUGUCACUGAGACGUGGUCGCCAUUGUGCAGCAUAGGUAGGAGGCGNCAUUGAAAUACUACCCGAUGGUGACUGCGACUCUCACUCCUGGCGGAGGACACUGGUAGCCGGGCAGUUUGACUGGGGCGGUACGCGCUUGAAAAGAUAUCGAGCGCGCCCCAAGGUUUCCUCCCCCGCGUCGGAGACGCGGGAAAGAGCGCAAGAGCAAACGGAAGCCUGACAGUGUCCGGCACAACGACGGACGCUGACGCGAAAGCGUGGUCUAGCGAACCAAUCAUCCUGCUUGAUGCGGGAGAUUGCUGACAGAAAAGCUACCUUAGGGAUAACAGAGUCGUCACUCGCAAGAGCACAUAUCGACCGAGUGGCUUGCUACCUCGAUGUCGGUUCCCUCCAUCCUGCCCGUGCAGAAGCGGGCAAGGGUGAGGUUGUUCGCCUAUUAAAGGAGGUCGUNGUGGCUUGCUACCUCGAUGUCGGUUCCCUCCAUCCUGCCCGUGCAGAAGCGGGCAAGGGUGAGGUUGUUCGCCUAUUAAAGGAGGUCGUGAGCUGGGUUUAGACCGUCGUGAGACAGGUCGGCUGCUAUCUAUUGGGGGGGUUAUGGUUCCUGACGGGAACGUUCGUAUAGUACGAGAGGAACUACGAAUGGGUGCCACUGGUGUACCGGCUGUUCGAAAGAGCACGUGCCGGGCAGCCACGCACCACGGGGUAAGAGCUGAACGCAUCUAAGCUCGAAACCCACCUGGAAAAGAGGAACCACCGAGAUCACUCGUAGAAGACGAGGUCGAUAGACUCGGGG